rnacentral:rRNA from 1 species
ACAAACGCUGGCGGCGUGCGUUAAACAUGCAAGUCGAACGGGGGAUUCUCUUCGGAGGGUCUUCAGUGGCGGACGGCUGAGUAGCACGUAACCGACCUGUCCGUUGGUGGGGGAUAGCGGCCGGAAACGGCCGGUAAUACCGCAUGAGCUCCCUUGUUUGGAGAUGGGGGAGGAAAGCCGAGAGGCGCCGAAGGAGGGGGUUGCGGCCCAUCAGCUAGUCGGUGGGGUGACGGCCUACCGAGGCAGUGACGGGUGGCCGGUCUGAGAGGAUGGUCGGCCAGACUGGGACUGGGACACGGCCCAGACACCUACGGGUGGCAGCAGUUAGGGAUCUUGCGCAAUGGGCUAACGCCUGACGCAGCGACGCCGCGUGGGGGAGGACGGCCCUCGGGUUGUAAACCCCUUUUCUGGGGGACGAGAACGGACGGUACCCCAGGAAUAAGCACCGGCUAACCCCGUGCCAGCAGCCGCGGUAAUACGGGGGGUGCGAGCGUUGUCCGGAUUCACUGGGCGUAAAGGGCGCGUAGGCGGCCCGAUCAGUCGGACCUUUAAGAGCGGGGCUCACCCCCGUGGUGGGUUCGGGACGGUCGGGCUGGGGCGCGGCAGAGGGGGACGGAAUGCCGGGUGUAGUGGUGAAAUGCGUAGAGAUCCGGCGGAGCACCGGUGGUGAAGACGGUCCCCUGGGCCGAGGCCGACGCUGAGGCGCGAGAGCGCGGGGAGCGAACCGGAUUAGAUACCCGGGUAGUCCGCGCCGUAAACGGUGGGCACUAGGUGUGGCGGGUAUCGACCCCCGCCGUGCCGUCGCCAACGCAUGGAGUGCCCCGCCUGGGGAGUACGGCCGCAAGGCUAAAACUCAAAGGAAUUGACGGGGGCCCGCACAAGCAGCGGAGCGUGUGGUUUAAUUCGAUGCAACGCGAAGAACCUUACCAGGGCUUGACAUGGCACUUACAGCGGGUGAAAGCCCGUGCCCGCAAGGGGUGUGUCACAGGUGCUGCAUGGCUGUCGUCAGCUCGUGCCGUGAGGUGUUGGGUUAAGUCCCGCAACGAGCGCAACCCCCGGGUCUAGUUAAGUUCCUAGACCGACGGCCGGGACCAACCCGGAGGAAGGUGGGGACGACGUCAAGUCAGCACGGCCCCUACGUCCUGGGCCACACACACGCUACAAUGGCCGGUACAGCGGGCGUUGCGAAGCCGCGAGGCGGAGCGAAUCUCUGCAAAGCCGGCCGUAGUGCAGAUCGGGGGCUGCAACCCGCCCCCGUGAAGUCGGAGUUGCUAGUAACCGCGGGUCAGCACACCGCGGUGAAUACGUUCCCGGGCCUUGUACACACCGCCCGUCACGUCAUGGGAGCGGGCAACGCCUGAAGCCGGCGGGCUAACCCGCAAGGGGAGCAGCCGUCGAGGGCGGGGUCCGUGACUGGGACG